AUUAUAAUAGCUCAAAUGGUUAGAGCAUUGGACUGAAAAUCCUUAGGUGGUAGUUCAAUUCUACCUUAUAAUA
rnacentral:tRNA from 1 species